rnacentral:lncRNA from 10 species
GUUUUUUAACUUUUAUUUCUGUUUUGGGGGUACAUGUGAAGGUUUGUUACAUAAGUAAACUCGUGUCUUCGGUGUUUGUUGUACAGAAUAUUUCAUCACCCAGGUAUUAUGCCGAGUACCCAAUAGUUCUCUUUUCUGCUCCUCUCCUUCCUCCCAUCCUGCACCCUGGAGUCAACCACAGUGUCUGUUGUUUCCUUGUUUGUGUUAUAAGUUCUCAUCAUUUAGCUCCCACUUACAAGUGAGAACAUCCAGUAUUUGGAUUUCUGUUCCUGCAUUAGUUUGCUAAGGAUAAUAGCCUCUAGCUCCAUCCAUGUUCCCACAAAAGACAUGAUCUAGUUCUUUUUAAUGGCUGCAUUAAAUGAAGUUUUAAAGAUACAACAUAAACACCAACCUCUUCCCCACCACAAAAAUCCCUUGCUGAAUUUGAUUACACUUAAAUUAACGAGUUUUGUUUCAUGAAAGACUCCUUGGACAAACUUGACAGUUGAUGGAAUAGGAGAAGCUGUCUGUCAUGUCUAAAGCCAACAAGAGAUCAAUAUCUAGAAUAAAUGGAGAUCUGCAAAUCAACAGAAAGUAGGCAGCAAAGCCAAAGAAAAUAGCCUAAGGCACAGCCACUAAAAGGAACGUGAUCAUGUCCUUUGCAGGGACAUGGGUGGAGCUGGAAGCCGUUAGCCUCAGCAAACUCACACAGGAACAGAAAACCAGCGAGACCGCAUGGUCUCACUUAUAAGUGGGAGCUGAACAAUGAGAACACAUGGUCACAUGGCGGCGAUCAACACACACUGGUGCCUGUUGAGCGGGGUGCUGGGGAGGGAGAGUACCAGGAAGAAUAGCUAAGGGAUACUGGGCUUAAUACCUGGGUGAUGGGAUGAUCUGUACAGCAAACCAUCAUGGCGCACACACCUAUGUAACAAACCUGCACAUCCUCUACAUGUACCCCAGAACUUCAAAUAAAAGUUGGACGGCCAGGCGUGGUGGCUCACGCCUGUAAUCCCAGCACUUUGGGAAGCCGAGGCGUGCAGAUCACCUAAGGUCAGGAGUUCGAGACCAGCCCGGCCAACAUGGUGAAACCCCGUCUCUACUAAAAAUACAAAAAUCAGCCAGAUGUGGCACGCACCUAUAAUUCCACCUACUCGGGAGGCUGAAGCAGAAUUGCUUGAACCCGAGAGGCGGAGGUUGCAGUGAGCCGCCGAGAUCGCGCCACUGCACUCCAGCCUGGGCCACAGCGUGAGACUACGUCAUAAAAUAAAAUAAAAUAACACAAAAUAAAAUAAAAUAAAAUAAAAUAAAAUAAAAUAAAAUAAAAUAAAAUAAAAUAAAAAAAUAAAAUAAAAUAAAAUAAAAUAAAGCAAUUUCCUUUCCUCUAAGCGGCCUCCACCCCUCUCCCCUGCCCUGUGAAGCGGGUGUGCAAGCUCCGG